rnacentral:siRNA from 1 species
CGGGCGUCGAACAGUCAGC